UAUAACCUAAAAUAAACAUUUACAAUUCUGGAUAGUUAGUGUGAAUAUCUUAAUAAAAAUAGCAUUGGAUAAAGGGGUUUGCACCAGUUAAAUAAUGUGAAAAUAAGGAUUUCUUAGGAGAACUGAACUUCUAAACAAUGUUUAGCUUUUUCACUAUCUUUUGUCAAAUGGGAUAUCCAUUGACUGGCCUGUCUUGCAUCAGUGGGGAUUUCAUCACAUUUGAGGGCGUAGGAUAGAGUGAUUACUAUCUGUCAAAGAUGAUAUGCAGGAACUGCUUUCUGAGGCUUUCACAGAAAUAAAAGAAGCUGACUUUAGAAGCCUCAUCUACACUGGCCACACUUCACUACACUGCCAUUGAGAGCACUCAUUUCAUUCGCUUCAUCACUGCAUCUCUCUCUCUUUCUCUGCCUACAUUUUUAAUGUGCCACAUUAAUGUAUACAAUAUGCUUUAAACGUUAAAGGUGCCUGAAACAAAGUGCCAUAGAUGUAGUCGUGUGGAGAUAUUAUGUUUUUAAAGUGCGCAAAAGUUAUAAACAAACACUGUGAAACUUAUUUUAAGAGCGCGGAUGUGAAAACCAUUCUUUUUUCCCCUUUAAAAGACAGAAUAAAGUUAUUUUAACGCAGCAGCAAACUGUACUCAAAUAUAAAGUGGCUAUUAUAUUUAACUCUCUUAGCUUCAAAUGAAGGCCUACAUUACAGAUUUGGUAAUUAUAUUUUUAAUUGGUAAUAAUUAAUUUAAUAAUUUUUUACUGUAAAUUCGCGUUUAUUAGUUUCUCAGUGAGAAGGUUUGAUGAAUCAAUUCUCUCAAAUAAAUGUGAGAAGUGUGUUUUUGUCUGUCGCACGCGGUGUAUUUUUACACAAUCGCUCAAUACAGUUUCUCUUGUGUUGCACAUAUAACCUGUGCCAUGAGCACUAACGAGUGUACAUGAAACCAAACAAGGGCACAAAAGAGAAGCUCGAGAAACACAAACAUCACCGGAGAAAAAAUGACCAAAGAAUUCGUCUACAGGGACAGGAUGACUGCUUGCAAUCGAGGGAAAGAUGAAUGCGGCCAAGUACAGGGAUGUCCUGGAUGAAAACCUUCUCCAGAGUGCUCAGGACCUCAGACUGGGCCGAAGGUUCACCUUCCAACAAGACACUGACCCUAAGCACACAGCUAAAAUAACAUAAGAGUGGCUUCACAACAACUACGUAACUGUUCUUGAAUGGCCCUGCCAGAGCCCUGACUUAAACCCAAUUGAGCAUCCUGAAUGGGGAGACCUGAAAACGGCUGUCCACCAAUGUUUCCCAUCCAACCUGACAGAACUGGAGAGGAUCUGUAAGGAGGAAUGGCACAGGAUCCCCAAAUCCAGUCACUCUCAUUGUGCUCCUCAUCGACGCUGCUGUUCACACUGUAAGCUGUUAACUGAGGAAGUCUGGAGGUAAAUGUCCCAGCUCUGUG